rnacentral:rRNA from 1 species
GCCUAACACAUGCAAGUCGAACGGUAGCACAGAGAGCUUGCUCUCGGGUGACGAGUGGCGGACGGGUGAGUAAUGUCUGGGAAACUGCCUGAUGGAGGGGGAUAACUACUGGAAACGGUAGACUAAUACCGCAUAACGUCUUCGGACCAGAGUGGGGGACCUUCGGGCCUCACACCAUCGGAUGUGCCCAGAUGGGAUUAGCUAGUAGGUGGGGUAAUGGCUCACCUAGGCGACGAUCCCUAGCUGGUCUUAGAGGAUGACCAGCCACACUGGAACUGAGACACGGUCCAGACUCCUACGGGAGGCAGCAGUGGGGAAUAUUGCACAAUGGGCGCAAGCCUGAUGCAGCCAUGCCGCGUGUAUGAAGAAGGCCUUCGGGUUGUAAAGUACUUUCAGCGGGGAGGAAGGCGAUAAGGUUAAUAACCUUGUCAAUUGACGUUACCCCGCA